CCAGCUCACUACUCCCUGAAGGGCACUUUCAAGAAAGUUCAAUCAAUGGAAGGGUCAAAUGUUUUCUUUUUCAAACGUCCAUUUUGCAUGUAAUGGCUGCUCCAUGCAGAGUUUACGGGUGUUCUCUUGUUCAUGAGAUCUAGCGUCCUUCUGCACAAAUGCAUGUGCUAUGGUUAUAAAAGUUCCCCAGCACCCUCCGGACUUUAGAGAGCUUCCCUGGAGCUAACUGAUGUCCCUCCUCCCAGACAAGCCAUGGUCCAGUCUGAAAAUGGAGAACCAAAAACAGAACCUUUAGCUGGGCACACGGCUGCUGAAUUAAAGACCACAUUUCCCAGCAUCCUUUGAGUGUGGCCAUGUAACUUGAAUUCUGGCCAACGGGAGGUGAGCCAAAGUGACGUGUCCAAAUUCUGGGACACACACUUAAAAGCAAGGCACACAAACUCUCCUAUCCUUUCCCCUUCCUGUGGGGUGGAAUACUGAUGUGACGGUGGUCACUGGAACAGUCAUCUCAGACCACAGGAUGGAAGCCACGUGUUAGGGAUGACAAAUAAGACAUUAGAAGCAGCCUGGGGCCCUGACCCUGCUAAGCCAUCCUAUCUUUGACACAAGACGGAGAAAUGAAGUUCUCUCUGGUUUAAGCAACUGUAUUUGUGGGUCUCUUGUAAUAGCAGCCUGACAUACAUCAUAACAGAGGUUAUAAGAGGAACACUUCAAGGUCUACAGCUUCAUACUUUUUGAGCUUGGGAAGUUCCAUGUUUCCUCUGGAUCUUGGUCUAAAAUAGGAAAAAUUCACAGAGGCUCACCUACGACUUCCUCUUUCCGUGUUAGUGUUUGCUAUCAUUAUUACCGUUGUUGUUGUUGUCCCCAUUAACAUUGCUUUAAAUAAGCCACACACAUGAGCAUGAGCAACAACAAGAGCACCAACAAAAACUGAUUAAGUUGAACUUCAUCAAAAUUAAACUUUUGUGCAUCAAAGGACAUUAUGAAAGUGAAAAGACAACCUACAGUAAGGGAGAAAAUAUUUGUAAAUCGUAGGUCUAAGAGUCUAAUAUCCAGAAUAUAUAAGGAAUCCUUAUAACCCAACAACAAAAAGAUAAACAACCCAAUUAAAAAGUGGGCGAAGAACUUAAAUAGACAUUUAUUUCUCCAAAGAACCUAUACAAGCACAGGAAAGGAUGCUCAUCAUCAUUAGUCACUAGGGAAAUGCAAAUCAAAGCCACGGUGAAACGCCAUUUCUCACCCACUAGAAUGGCUUAAUUUAAGAAAAAAAAAGUAAAAUAACAAGUGCUGGCUAGGAUGUGGAGAAAUUGGAAUCCUCAUACACUGAUAGUGGGAAUGAAAAUGACUUAGCUGUUGUGGGAAGCAGUUUGGUGGUUCCUCAAAAAGUUGAACACAGAAUUACCAUAUGACCCAGCCAUCCUGGUCCUAGGUAUAUCCCCAAAGAACUGAAAACAGCUACUCAAACAAGUGAACAUACAUGUUCAUGGCAGCACUCGUCACACUAGCCAAAAGGUGGAAACAAUUCAAAUGUCCGUCAACAGAUGAAUGGAUAAACACAUGGUUACAUACACAUACAAUAGAAUAUUAUUCAGCCGUAAUAAGGAAUGAAGUGCUGAUACAUACUAUAAUGCAGAUGAGCCUCAAAGAUAUUAUGCUAAAUGAAAGAAGUCAAACAUAAAAAAGUCAGACACUGUAUGAUUCCAUUUAUUGGAAGUAUCUAGAAUGGGUAAAUUCAUAGAGACAAAAAGUAGAUUGGUGGUUGCCAGGGGCUGGAGGAAGAAAAGAAUAGGGAGUAACUGCUUAAUGGGGCUUACACUGCUUUGGGAUGCUGAAAGUGUUUUGGAACUAGGUAGACGUGGUGGCUGCAUAUUUUGAAGGUACUAAAUGCCACUGAAUGGUUCACUUUAAAAUUAAAAUGGUUAAUUUUAUGUUAUAUGAAUCUUACCUCCGUUUAAAAGAAAAAAGCCGUGGGCCCCAAAGCAACAGUAAUGUCGUUUGUUUCCAGAAAGAUGCCCAUUGGUGUAGGAGUCUGCCUGAAACAAGACGCUAAGCUGCCUGAGCAGCUAGGCCGCUAAUGAAUGCCUCUCCUCCCCAAGAAGCAAACGCUCCUGCUGCUCCCAGCUGUUUGGUAGGCUCCGACCUGCUACUGUCAGGUAGCAUUGGUCGUACAGGUAACAAGAAGCCACAUCCUGAUUCGCAUCCUCCUCCCAAAACCCUGCAACUUCCUGAAUUCCCGUGCUCCUCAGGCGGGACUUCCUGUUGGAGAUGGAGCUAAAGAAGCUGAAAAACUCCUCCAUCCUUCCUAAGAUAGAUCUCAUUUAUGCAUGAGGUCAGACAAAUUUCCCUAAUGCUGCCCUUGAGGGGAUAUCCAGGGAUAACAAAGGCUGUCUUCCAUGCCUCUCCCCGAAUCCAGAUGUAAACCAGAAAACAUAAAAUAAAAAGCCAAAAAUCAUUCCAAAAAGUCGACAUUAAAUUGACAAAAAGACCACGUGUGUUCUACUUGGCCUGUUUUACAUGGUUUGUCUGAAUUCUCUCCCACCUCCCCAUCCUGCCAAGACAUCAGGGACGUAUUGACUUUCAUUUCCUUGAAAUAGUUAAUUUUUGCAACCAAGGUUCCAAACAGGAGGUUUAAACUGGGGAUCCACUCACUCUGUGUGUAGGUCAUUUAAGAGCUCAAUCUCAUCUUUGAAAUAUAGAUUAGCCAGGAGAGUAUGAGUUCAGCAUUUCUAUGUAAUGUUGUUUCAUUGAUCCUGCAGGCCAACUGGACAUGGCUUCAGACGGAUACCUAAAAAUUAGUUUUAAAACUUUCCC
rnacentral:lncRNA from 1 species